rnacentral:rRNA from 1 species
UACGUAGGUGGCAAGCGUUGUCCGGAUUUACUGGGCGUAAAGAGCGCGCAGGCGGUCGUUCAAGUCGCGUGUGAAAGCCCCCGGCUCAACUGGGGAGGGUCACGCGAUACUGAUCGACUCGAAGGCAGGAGAGGGUAGUGGAAUUCCCGGUGUAGUGGUGAAAUGCGUAGAUAUCGGGAGGAACAUCAGUGGCGAAGGCGGCUACCUGGCCCAAUACUGACACUCAGGUGCGACAGCGUGGGGAGCAA